GCGCCUUAUGCAUGCAAGUCGAGCGAAGCUUUUCAGUAGUUUACUACAGAAAAUGACUGAGCGGCGAACGGGUGAGUAACGCGUGAGCAACCUACCUUAGUUACUGGGAUAGCCCGAGGAAACUCGGAUUAAUACCGGAUAUUCUUAUUUAAUCACAUGAUUUUUUAAGGAAAGGUCAGCCGAACUAAGAUGGGCUCGCGUUCUAUCAGCUAGUUGGUAGGGUAAUGGCCUACCAAGGCUACGACGGAUAGCUGGUCUGAGAGGACGAUCAGCCACACUGGGACUGAGACACGGCCCAGACUCCUACGGGAGGCUGCAGCAGGGAAUAUUGCGCAAUGAGCGAAAGCUUGACGCAGCGACACCGCGUGUGGGAUGACGGAUCUAAGUUUGUAAACCACUUUCAGGAGGGAAGAAAAUGACGGUACCUCCACAAGAAGCCCCGGCCAACUAC
rnacentral:rRNA from 1 species